AUGGCCGAGGAGUCCGACAAAGCCGUGAAGUACUACACCGUGGAAGAGAUCCAGAAGCACAACCACAGCAAGAGCACCUGGCUGAUCCUGCAUUACAAGGCGUACAAUUUGACCAAAUUUUUGGAGGAGCACCCUGGUGGGGAAGAUGUCUUAAGGGAACAAGCUGGAGGUGAUGCUACUGAAAACUUUGAGGAUGUCAGACACUCUACAGAUGCUCGAGAAUUGUCCAAAACGUUUACCAUUGGGGAGCUGCAUCCGGAUGACAGGUCAAAGAUAACCAAGCCUCCGGAAACUCUUAUUACUACUAUUGAUUCUAAUUCCAGCUGGUGGACCAACUGGGUGAUCCCAACCAUCUCAGCACUGGUUGUAGCCCUGAUGUAUCACUUCUACACAUCGGAACACUAAACACGUUCUCAGAAGCCAGUGGAAGAAAAGACUGCUU